AUUGAACGCUGGCGGAAUGCUUUACACAUGCAAGUCGAACGGCAGCACGGGGGCAACCCUGGUGGCGAGUGGCGAACGGGUGAGUAAUAUAUCGGAACGUGCCCAGUCGUGGGGGAUAACGUAGCGAAAGUUACGCUAAUACCGCAUACGAUCUACGGAUGAAAGCGGGGGAUCGCAAGACCUCGCGCGAUUGGAGCGGCCGAUAUCAGAUUAGGUAGUUGGUGGGGUAAAGGCUCACCAAGCCAACGAUCUGUAGCUGGUCUGAGAGGACGACCAGCCACACUGGGACUGAGACACGGCCCAGACUCCUACGGGAGGCAGCAGUGGGGAAUUUUCCGCAAUGGGCGAAAGCCUGACGGAGCAAUACCGCGUGAGGGAAGAAUGCCUAUGGGUUGUAAACCUCUUUUUUCAGGGAGGAAUAAAAUGACGUGUACCUGAAGAAUAAGCAUCGGCUAACUCCGUG
rnacentral:rRNA from 1 species